ACGUACGCUGGCGGCACGCCUAACACAUGCAAGUCGAACGAAGUAGCAAUACUUAGUGGCAGACGGGUGAGUAACAUGUAGGUAUCUGCCCUUUGGCCUGGAAUAACACGAGGAAACUUGUGCUAAUACCGGAUAAGUCUUUACGGAGAAAGCUUUAUGCACCAUUGGAUGAGCCUGCACUUGAUUAGUUUGUUGGUGGGGUAAUGGCCUACCAAGACUGUGAUCAAUAGCUGAUUUGAGAGGAUGAUCAGCCACAUUGGGACUGAGACACGGCCCAAACUCCUACGGGAGGCAGCAGUGGGGAAUCUUGCACAAUGGAGGAAACUCUGAUGCAGCGAUGCCGCGUGAGUGAAGAAGGCCUUUGGGUUGUAAAGCUCUUUCGUCGGGGAAGAAAAUGACUGUACCCGAAUAAGAAGGUCCGGCUAACUUCGUGCCAGCAGCCGCGGUAAUACGAAGGGACCUAGCGUAGUUCGGAAUUACUGGGCUUAAAGAGUUCGUAGGUGGUUGAAAAAGUUAGUGGUGAAAUCCCAGAGCUUAACUCUGGAACUGCCAUUAAAACUUUUCAGCUAGAGUAUGAUAGAGGAAAGCAGAAUUUCUAGUGUAGAGGUGAAAUUCGUAGAUAUUAGAAAGAAUACCAAUUGCGAAGGCAGCUUUCUGGAUCAUUACUGACACUGAGGAACGAAAGCAUGGGUAGCGAAGAGGAUUAGAUACCCUCGUAGUCCAUGCCGUAAACGAUGUGUGUUAGACGUUGGAAAUUUAUUUUCAGUGUCGCAGGGAAACCGAUAAACACACCGCCUGGGGAGUACGACCGCAAGGUUAAAACUCAAAUGAAUUGACGGGGACCCGCACAAGUAGUGGAGCAUGUGGUUUAAUUCGAAGAUACGCGCAGAACCUUACCAACACUUGACAUGUUCGUCGCAACUCUAAGAGAUUAGAGUUUUCGGUUCGGCCGGACGAAACACAGGUGCUGCAUGGCUGUCGUCAGCUCGUGUCGUGAGAUGUUGGGUUAAGUCCCGCAACGAGCGCAACCCUCACUUUUAGUUGCCAUCAUUAAGUUGGGCACUCUGAAAGAACUGCCAGUGAUAAGCUGGAGGAAGGUGGGGAUGACGUCAAGUCCUCAUGGCCCUUACGUGUUGGGCUACACACGUGCUACAAUGGUAUCUACAACAGGAAGCAAGACGGCGACGUCAAGCAAAUCCCUAAAAGAUACCUCAGUUCGGAUUGCACUCUGCAACUCGAGUGCAUGAAGCUGGAAUUACUAGUAAUCGUGGAUCAGCGUGCCACGGUGAAUGCGUUCCCGGGUCUUGCACUCACCGCC
rnacentral:rRNA from 1 species